rnacentral:ncRNA from 1 species
AAAGUUUAGAUCCCAGACUUCUAAUUAUCUACGGUUGAGACUACACAUGCAAGUAUCCGCAUUCCAGUGAGAAUGCCUCCACCCCAUUACAAAUGCAAUAGAGCAGGUAUCAGGCCCAACACUGUUAGCCCACCACACCUUGCCAAGCCACAUCCUCACGGAUCAUACAGCAGUGACCAACAUUAGGCAAUAAGCACAUCAAGCUUGACCUAGCCAAACCACCCCAGGCCGGCAAAUCUCGUGCCAGCAGCCGCGGUUACACGGGAGGCCAAAAAUAAUUCACCAACGGCGUAAAGAGUGACCACAGAUUACUACCUCCAUCGGAUUCUAAAAUUUUACCUUAGAGAUGAAAUCCCAAGACACCAAGAUCUCCAAAGCAUCCACAAACAGGCCAUCCAACUCACGAAAAUCGGGGCACAAACUAGGAUUAGAUACCCUACUAUGCCCGGUCGUAAACAAAAAUGGAACAAAACAACCCAUUCGCCCGAGAACUACCAGCACAAGCUAAAAACUCAAAAGACUUGACGGUGCUCUACCCUGCCUAGAGGAGCCUGUCCUAUAAUCGAUACUCCACGAUCCACCCGACCGUCACUAGUAACUUCAGCCUAUAUACCGCCGUCGAAAGUGUAUCCCUCAAAGGACCUAUAAUUUUCUCAAUAGUCUCCCGCUAAAACGUCAGGCCAAGGCAUAGCUAAUGUGACGGCAGAGAUGGGCUACAUUUUCUGACCACAGAACACACGAAAAAUGGUAUGAAACCUACCAUUCAAAGGAGGAUUUAGCAGUAAGGCGAAAAAGCAUACUCUCCUUAACCCAGCACCAGAGCACGUACACACCGCCCGUCACCCUCAUUGAUCACCCCAAACUCAACUAUAUUCUCACCUAACCCCAUAAAUGAGGCAAGUCGUAACAUGGUAAGUGUACUGGAAAGUGCACUUGGAAAAC